GAGGUCCCGGAUGCAGGGAGAAGGUCAGAAUGUCCCGGAUGUGGUAGCCAUUGCUAGUGUUGUGUACUGAGGUGGUAAUAGAUCAACCCUCUCUGAAGGUGUUAGAUUCCCAAAAAAGAAUAAAAAAUGGCUGAUCAAAUAAAGAAGCCAGCCAUUGUAGGAAAAUACAAACCUGCCACAGCAACGCCUGGGAUUUGGAAAUCACCCACUACACUAAAUACUCCCCAAAGUAUCCCAGCAAGAAUUAUAACCAGUCCAUGGAAGAAAUUUUUUUGGGACUUUGGAAAGUAUCCAGCCGUUGUGAUUGCAGUCUUAACGCCUUUAAUGUUCUGGCCCAUCGCAAGGGGAUUUAAUAGCAUAGGAAAUAAGAGGGAGUGGAAGAGACUUGGUAUUGAAUGGAAGCGUAAGUACAAAGAUGUAUAUUCUUUUAUAAAAAGAAAUGGGAAAUUAAUCUAUAC